CCUACGGGUGGCAGCAGUGAGGAAUAUUGGUCAAUGGGCGCGAGCCUGAACCAGCCAAGUCGCGUGAAGGAUGACUGCCCUGCGUGUUGUAAACUUCUUUUAUAGGGGAAUAAGGUGAGGCACGCGUGCCUUGUUGUAUGUACUUUAUGAAUAAGGAUCGGCUAACUCCGUGCCAGCAGCCGCGGUAAUACGGAGGAUCCGAGCGUUAUCCGGAUUUAUUGGGUUUAAAGGGGGCGUAGAUGGGUUGGUAAGGCAGUUGUGAAAGGUUGCGGCUCAACCGUAAGACUGCAAUUGAGACUGGGAGCCUGGAGUACAGGUGAGGUAGGCGGAAUUCGUGGUGUAGCGGUGAAAUGCUUAGAUAUCACGAAGAACUCCGAUUGCGAAGGCAGCUUACUAAACUGCCACUGACAUUGAUGCUCGAAAGUGUGGGUAUCAAACAGGAUUAGAUACCCGAGUAGUC
rnacentral:rRNA from 1 species